rnacentral:lncRNA from 1 species
ACUCAAAAUAAAAGACUAGCUUUAAAUUUUUCUCAACAAAAAUGGAUGAGGCUCACUUGUCACACUACAACAGAAUUAGGUUAUAGGGACACAUGUUUGGGACACUUUUGAGUAAGUGUCUCAUUUAUCCUAAAACUUAAAAAAACAUCUAGUAAUGCCUAAAUAUAAAGCCCAAUCCAACCAAAAAUAAAAGAUUACUCUACUCAACCCACCACACCCAGUCCAUUUGGCCCGAUUAUAAACAGAAAAGAAAAAAAAAAGAAAAAUCAAUUACCAUCUUUUCUUCUCUCUUCACUCAAUCCACUAAAAUUCUAGACGAAGAGCCUUUCCUGUCGUCCUCCUCCGCCAGCGCAACCAACGAGAUAGAGUUUCGGCGGUUGCUAAAUGCUUAAAUAAGUGUUGGUAAAUUAGCAGCACUCUUUUAGGUUAUAGCGACACUCUUUAACUGUCACUAUAUACCUAGCGACCCCAUAUAUAGCAACACUUUUUAAAAGUGUCGGUAAUUUUAGCUAGUAGCACUUUUUUAACAUGUACCUACAUUUGAAAGUGUCGCUAUAGACCGUUUUUGUUGUAGUGUCAGUAAACCACGUUCAUGUGGGCCAGUUAAAAUUUUUUUUGAAGUAAAUUUUUCGUUA